GGCUACAUCAUGUUCAAACACUGGUUCCUUUAAGAUCACCGAAGUUAAGCAACGUCGAGCCUGGCCAAUACCUAGAUAAGUGACCGCUGAGGAAUACCAAGUGCCGUAA